rnacentral:rRNA from 1 species
UACGGGGGGAGCAAGCGUUGUUCGGAUUUACUGGGCGUAAAGGGCGCGUAGGCGGUCAGCACAAGUCAGUUGUGAAAUCUCCGGGCUUAACUCGGAAAGGUCAACUGAUACUGUGCGACUAGAGUGCGGAAGGGGCAACUGGAAUUCUCGGUGUAGCGGUGAAAUGCGUAGAUAUCCGGAGGAACACCGGUGGCGAAGGCGGCUUCCUGGACCGACACUGACGCUGAGGCGCGAAAGCCAGGGGAGCAAACGGG